rnacentral:rRNA from 1 species
GAGUUUGAUCAUGGCUCAGAUUGAACGCUGGCGGUAUGCUUAACACAUGCAAGUCGAACGGUAACAGGCCUUCGGGCGCUGACGAGUGGCGGACGGGUGAGUAACGCGUAGGAAUCUGCCUCAUAGUGGGGGACAACGUGGGGAAACUCACGCUAAUACCGCAUACGCCCUCGGGGGAAAAGCGGGGGAUCUUCGGACCUCGCGCUAUGAGAUGAGCCUGCGUUAGAUUAGCUAGUUGGUAGGGUAAAGGCCUACCAAGGCGACGAUCUAUAGCUGGUCUGAGAGGACGAUCAGCCACACUGGGACUGAGACACGGCCCAGACUCCUACGGGAGGCAGCAGUGGGGAAUAUUGGACAAUGGGCGCAAGCCUGAUCCAGCAAUACCGCGUGUGUGAAGAAGGCCUUAAGGUUGUAAAGCACUUUCAAUUGGGAGGAAAACCUGCCGGUCAAUACCCGGUAGCUUGACAUUACCUUUAGAAGAAGCACCGGCUAACUCCGUG